rnacentral:rRNA from 1 species
UACAGAGGGGGCAAGCGUUGUUCGGAAUUACUGGGCGUAAAGGGCGCGUAGGCGGCCUGCUAAGUCGAACGUGAAGUCCCCGGGCUCAACCCGGGAACUGCGUCCGAUACUGGCAGGCUUGAAUCCGGGAGAGGGAUGUGGAAUUCCAGGUGUAGCGGUGAAAUGCGUAGAUAUCUGGAGGAACACCGGUGGCGAAGGCGGCAUCCUGGACCGGCAUUGACGCUGAGGCGCGAAAGCCAGGGGAGCAAACGGG